AGGCAACUGAGGCAGGAGAAUGGUGAGAUCAAGGCCAGCCUGGACUACAGAGAGCUCCAGCUCAAAAAGCAACAACCAGAAAGUGCCUGGUAGUACUUUCUCCACCUUCCAGUCAAAGUAGUAUCAAUAAUAAGUGAUGUUUUGUAUACAAUAGGAGAUAUGAGAAAUAAAAUUUUGGAAUUGGAAGGAAGAUGUAGAUGAAUCACAUGAGCACCUGUUUGGAAUUUAGCAUUGAUCAGACCAGAGGGUACAGUGGGGCCUGACAAAGUCUUUAAGAGAGGACAUGAACAUGGCUAAUAAAAUCUUUAAGCUGCUCUGUAAAUGAAGGGCUUUGUCCAUGUUUCCUGGUCUCUUGUUGCUGCAGAUAAGGAAUCAGCUCUGUCAGGAGGAAGAGCAACGCAACUCUGAACAGGAGCAGAUGAGGAGUGAGAUCUCUGACCUAACACAGGCACUUCAUCAGAAGGAGAUCACCAUAGCAACCAUCAUGAAGAAAGCUGCCCUCCUGGAAAGACAGUUAAAGAUGGAAUUAGAAAUAAAAGAAUAAAUGUUAGCAAAGCAACAGGUCUCAGAUAUGAGAUAUAAAGCUGUCAGAACAGAAAACACGCAUCUAAAAGGAAUGAUGGGAGAUUUAGACCCUGGACGGUACAUGGUUAUCACAGCCUCCACUGAGCCUACUUCACUGAUUCCUACAGACUUUGACUUUGCUCAUUUAUUAUUUAAAGCGACAUUUUUGUUUAAGAUAGCUAUUCAAGGGAGUUCAUUAUGAAAUUUACAUGUAUAUGUGUAUUAUAA